rnacentral:rRNA from 1 species
CGACACCGCGCGGAACCGAAAGCCGUUCUCAGUUCGGAUCGGAGUCUGCAACCCGACUACAUGAAGCUGGAAUCGCUAGUAAUCGCAGAUCAGAAUGCUGCGGUGAAUACGUUCCCGGGUCUUGUACACACCGCCCGUCACACCAUGGGAGUUGGAAAUGCCCGAAGCCAGUGACCCAACCGUAAGGAGGGAGCUGUCGAAGGUGGAGCCGAUGACUGGGGUGAAGUCGUAACAAGGUAGC